rnacentral:rRNA from 1 species
AGUAAUGCAUAGGAAUCUGCCCGGUAGUGGGGGAUAACUUGAGGAAACUCAGGCUAAUACCGCAUACGCCCUACGGGGGAAAGCAGGGGCUCUUCGGACCUUGCGCUAUCGGAUGAGCUUAUGUCGGAUUAGCUAGUUGGUGAGGUAACGGCUUACCAAGGCGACGAUCCGUAGCUGGUCUGAGAGGAUGAUCAGCCACAUCGGGACUGAGACACGGCCCGAACUCCUACGGGAGGCAGCAGUGGGGAAUAUUGGACAAUGGGCGAAAGCCUGAUCCAGCCAUGCCGCGUGUGUGAAGAAGGCCCUCGGGUUGUAAAGCACUUUCAGUGAGGAAGAAGGCUUGUCGGUUAAUACCCGGCAGGAAGGACAUCACC